rnacentral:rRNA from 1 species
AACCCAAAGGACUUGACGGUUUUCCAUCCCCCUAGAGGAGCCUGUUUUAUAAUCGAUUCCCCCCGAUAAACCUUACCACCUCUUGAUAUUUUCAGCCUGUAUACCUCCGUCGCAAGCUUACCUUAUGAACGCAUGCUUAGUGAACCUAAAGAUUUUUACAUCUAUACGUCAGGUCAAGGUGCAGCCCACGACGUGGAAAUAAAUGGGCUACAAUUUCUAUCUUAGAAUAAACGAAAAACCAUAUGAAACACAAUUUAAAGGCGGAUUUAGUAGUAAAAGGAAAAUAGAGAGUUCCUUUUAAUCGGGCCCUGGAAUACGUACACACCGCCCGUCACCCUCUUCAAAUAACCAAACAACGUAACUAACACUACAAAUUUUUAUAGAAGAGGCAAGUCGUAACAUGGUAAGUGUACCGGAAGGUGCACUUGGAUCAACAAAAUGUAACUUAAUAAAAGUGUCUUGCUUACACCAAGAAUAUGUUUGUAAAACCCAAACCAUUUUGCGCUUAAAAUUCAGCCCUAACUUAUUUAAUGAAACAUACCAACCAACAAAAAAACCUAAACAUUUUAUAACUUAGUAAAGGCGAUUAAAAGUGCUAGAG